ACGUACACACAACAAUGUGCACACACGUCUGGCUCUAACACCAAUAUAUCCUCCUUACUUCCUCUAGUCCUCAAUCCCUCAGUUCUUCUUCCUGAUAAUAGGCUCGACUGUCUGACCAAGGGACCCCACAUCAGUUGGAACUGAAAGAACAACCCAGACCCUUGGAACACAUACGGUCCACACUAUCAGUACAAGUUGGUGGCCGUCAAUAUGGACUACAAGGCUCUGAAGAAGGAGGGCCCUGACUUCUAAAGGUCCUUCAGGCAACUCCAGGAGCACCAAGUUUGGCAGGACCUCCUGUCAUCCUAGUGGCAGGGUCGGGGCAGCCUGAGCCUCGGUCGGGUCCUCUGUCUGUCCCCUCUGCUGUCUCUUCAGAAUGCACACCAUUUCAUAUUAACUGUCUUUUCCCUGCACUAACCUACAGUUAUAGAAGCAAUUGUCUGCAUGUGCACAGCAAAUACUGUUAUUAUAACCUACCUGUCUCUCAGACACCACCCUACAGUAUAAAUCUCUUCAUGCAUAAAAACCCUAAAGAGAUGUCAUGUAACAGGCUCUUUCACAACCCUACAGUUAUUGUAACCUGUCUCUUCACGACGCACAACAGCACUGUUAUAGAUCUGUCUCUUUAUUUUCAUGCACAGCAACCCUAAAGUGAUGUAUCCUUCUUCAUGCACAGCAACCCUAAAGUGAUGUAUCCUUCUUCAUGCACAGCAACCCUAAAGUGAUGUAUCCUUCUUCAUGCACAGCAACCCUAAAGUGAUGUAUCCUUCUUCAUGCACAGCAACCCUAAAGUCAUGUAUCCUUCUUCAUGCACAGCAACCCUAAAGUGAUGUAUCCUUCUUCAUGCACAGCAACCCUAAAGUGAUGUAUCCUUCUUCAUGCACAGCAACCCUAAAGUGAUGUAUCCUUCUUCAUGCACAGCAACCCUAAAGUAAUGUAUCCUUCUUCAUGCACAACCCUGAUGUUCCAUAACUGUCUCUUAACGCUACAUUGAAAACAACACUAUUAAACAUCAGUCAAAGAAGUCUGGUUACGUUGAUUUACAUGGUCUGUGUAUAUACUGUACAAUCAUGCCUACAUGUGUUGAGUAGAGUUUGAAGGGUGUAGUGGAAGAGAAUAGGAGUUGAGUAGAUUUAGAAUUGAUCAGAAAUGAUUAAGUGAAAAGCAGUUUAUUUUGAUAACAUUGGAAUCACCAGUGUACAAACAUUUGACUUCACAAAUAAAUCAGCCGAACAGAAAACAUUUCAUGCUGUGAAAUACAGCUGAUGAGCACUAAAAUUGUAACAACAAAAAACUAGUUCAAUUAACGUGUGUUUUAAGGAAUUUCAACAUAAAAAUAAUGAAACGUGGUGACAUUGAAUCAACGAGAAAAUUGUCAUUAACGUAAGGUAACUUAGCCUUUUUUUCACACAACUUUGAGCUUUUAAUCAAGUGGCAUGGUGAAAUGUUUUGUUGAUUUCACAUUGAAUUCACGUUAGUAGACAACUCAACCAAAUGUAAAUCGAAACUAGAUGUUUAACUGACGUCUGUGCCCAGUGGGAAGUGUUGAGGCAGCUCAAUUAGACAAUUUGAGUAGACAAAAAACACAUUGUGAACUGAUUGGUCUUCCUGACCACCACCGGAGGUAGUCGAAGAUGCGUCUUCUACGGAUAUCCUUGAAGUCUCAACCAGGGCAGCCGAGCGGAAAUGGAGGAAAACUCGCCUCCCUGCGGACCUGGCAUCCUUUCGCUUCCUCCUCUCUACAUUUUCCUCUUCUGUCUCUGCUGCUAAAG